rnacentral:lncRNA from 1 species
GGAAAUGAUCAAAGCACAACACAAAUGAAAGUAGAGAGGGACAUGCACAUAUACGUCGUUUACGUAAAAUAGGCUACGUCCACGGGCAAGAUGGCAAAGGUGUAUUCACUAUCAAGAGGAAAAAUUACAAGGUUGGGGUUUAUACAAUUACCUCAUACAAAGAAUGCUCAAACAAAUAACUUCCUACCAUAAAACUACCUACAAUGGACUCCUUUCUUCGACUGACCGAUGUCGCGAAGAAAUGCCCAAA